GGCACUGGGCAAGAGUCAGUAGCUCUGUGGAUACGCAUGUGGUCAGCAAAGACGAGCAGAAAUGAACCCAUGCUCGGUGCGGGCUGUCCUGCUUUCCUGAGCUCAGCUGCUCGAGUGUGUUUCAAGAAGAAUAAUAGUAAAAGCUGAAUGCCUCUGCCACUGAUCGCCGUCCCCUCAUGUCCUGAUUUAGUGAGAGCCACAGAGUGAUCCUGGCCACAUCUCAGAGGUCCUGGGGAGAUGGCAGUCAUCAAGUCAGACAAAAUCUCUGCUUUCAAGGAACUUAUAUUCUAGUGGAGGAAGACAGACAAUAAGCACAUUUAUAGUAUGUCGGUGGCGAAUGAAAACUAGGAAGAAAAAUAAAUCGAGUUAUAGGAAAGAUGAGCUAAUGAUGUCAUCCAGGGAGGUUGCCUGGCCAAACAGGGCCUCAUGGGACACCAUACUGAUUCCAGCUGGGAACCAAGAUGAGUAAGAUGCAAUCCCUACCUCCAAGGAGGCCAAGACGGGAACAAGAACCUCUAGGUAUCAACUUCCACUUCUCUUCUCUGGAAAAUUUGAGGGCUGUCUCCAAACGGUGCUUCGAUUGCGAGUCAGAGGGAGAAGAAUGUUCAGGUCCCGUAAGCAGAAGCCCCCACAGAGUGUGUUUGCUGGUAACCAGCUUUUCUCAGGUUGUAAUGACUGAAGGUGAAUGAAGGAUUGAAGGCUUCGGGUGGAGAAUUAUCAAUCAGAUAGGGUGAAUAAACUCAAUUCCUCCAAAACACGAGCUAUUUCAAAGGUCACUGUCUUAAGAAAAAAUGUUGAUCAAUGGUCUCUUUCAGGAAAUCAACUCCGUUGAAAUAUAAUUUAUACUGCUUUUUACUUUUGUCUUCUUUCAGUGAAUUAAACUAUAG
rnacentral:lncRNA from 1 species